rnacentral:tRNA from 1 species
UGCCCCAUGGCUGAGUUGGUUACAGCGUCCGACUGUUAUGAAGCAAUCGGAAGGUCGUGAGUUCGAGCCUCACUGGGGCAG